AUUGAACGCUGGCGGCAGGCCUAACACAUGCAAGUCGAACGGUAACAGGAAGAAGCUUGCUUCUUUGCUGACGAGUGGCGGACGGGUGAGUAAUGUCUGGGAAACUGCCUGAUGGAGGGGGAUAACUACUGGAAACGGUAGCUAAUACCGCAUAACGUCGCAAGACCAAAGAGUGGGACCUUCGGGCCUCUUGCCAUCGGAUGUGCCCAGAUGGGAUUAGCUAGUAGGUGGGGUAACGGCUCACCUAGGCGACGAUCCCUAGCUGGUCUGAGAGGAUGACCAGCCACACUGGAACUGAGACACGGUCCAGACUCCUACGGGAGGCAGCAGUGGGGAAUAUUGCACAAUGGGCGCAAGCCUGAUGCAGCCAUGCCGCGUGUAUGAAGAAGGCCUUCGGGUUGUAAAGUACUUUCAGCGGGGAGGAAGGGAGUAAAGUUAAUACCUUUGCUCAUUGACGUUACCCGCAGAAGAAGCACCGGCUAACUCCGUG
rnacentral:rRNA from 1 species